AUUGAACGCUGGCGGCAGGCCUAACACAUGCAAGUCGAGCGAGCGGCGGACGGGUGAGUAAUGUCUGGGAAACUGCCUGAUGGAGGGGGAUAACUACUGGAAACGGUAGCUAAUACCGCAUACCAUCAGAUGUGUCCAGAUGGGAUUAGCUAGUAGGUGGGGUAAUGGCUCACCUAGGCGACGAUACCUAGCUGGUCUGAGAGGUUGACAAGUCACACUGGAACUGAAACGCGGGCCAGACUCCAACGGGAGGCAGCAGUGGGGGAUAGUGCACUAUGGGCGCAAGCCUGAUGCAGCCAUGCCGCGUGUGUGAAGGAGGCCUUCGGGUUGGAAAGCACUUUCAGCGGGGAGGCGUUACCCGCAGAAGAAGCACCGGCUAACUCCGUGCCAGCCGCCGCGGUAAUAC
rnacentral:rRNA from 1 species